GAUGAACGCUGGCGGCGUGCUUAACACAUGCAAGUCGAACGAUGAAGCCCAGCUUGCUGGGUGGAUUAGUGGCGAACGGGUGAGUAACACGUGAGUAACCUGCCCUUUACUCUGGGAUAAGCCUGGGAAACUGGGUCUAAUACUGGAUAUGACUUCUCAUCGCAUGGUGGGGGGUGGAAAGAUUUAUUGGUCUUGGAUGGACUCGCGGCCUAUCAGCUUGUUGGUGAGGUAAUGGCUCACCAAGGCGACGACGGGUAGCCGGCCUGAGAGGGUGACCGGCCACACUGGGACUGAGACACGGCCCAGACUCCUACGGGAGGCAGCAGUGGGGAAUAUUGCACAAUGGGCGCAAGCCUGAUGCAGCGACGCCGCGUAAGGGAUGACGGCCUUCGGGUUGUAAACCUCUUUCAGUAGGGAAGAAGAGAGAGUGACGGCACCUGCAGAAGAAGCGCCGGCUAACUACGUG
rnacentral:rRNA from 1 species